ACGAGCGGCGGACGGGUGAGUAAUGUCUGGGAAACUGCCUGAUGGAGGGGGAUAACUACUGGAAACGGUAGCUAAUACCGCAUAACGUCGCAAGACCAAAGAGGGGGACCUUCGGGCCUCUUGCCAUCAGAUGUGCCCAGAUGGGAUUAGCUAGUAGGUGGGGUAACGGCUCACCUAGGCGACGAUCCCUAGCUGGUCUGAGAGGAUGACCAGCACACUGGAACUGAAAACACGGUCCAGACUCCUACGGGAGGCAGCAGUGGGGAAUAUUGCACAAUGGGCGCAAGCCUGAUGCAGCCAUGCCGCGUGUAUGAAGAAGGCCUUCGGGUUGUAAAGUACUUUCAGCGGGGAGGAAGGUGUGUGGUCUAAUAACCACAGGCAAUUGACGUUACCCGCAGAAGAAGCACCGGCUAACUACGUGCCAGCAGCCGCGGUAAUACGGAGGGUGCAAGCGUAAUCGGAAUUACUGGGCGUAAAGCGCACGCAGGCGGACCUGUCAAGUCGGCAUGUGAAAUCCCCCGGGCUCAACCUGGCGAACUGCAUCCCGAAACUGGCCAGCUAAACAGGUCCCUUCGGUCACAAAACGGGGGGGNGUUCACG
rnacentral:rRNA from 1 species